UACGUAGGGGCAAGCGUUGUCCGGAUUUAUUGGGCGUAAAGAGCGUGUAGGCGGCCAGACAGGUCCGUUGUGAAACUAGAGGCUUAACCUCUAGACGUCGAUGGAAACCGUCUGGCUAGAGUCCGGAAGAGGAGAAUGGAAUUCCUGGUGUAGCGGUGAAAUGCGCAGAUAUCAGGAAGAACACCCGUGGCUAAGGCGGUUCUCUAGUACGGUACUGACGCUGAGACGCGAAAGCGUGGGGAGCGAACAGG
rnacentral:rRNA from 1 species